rnacentral:rRNA from 1 species
CCUACGUGCGGCAGCAGUGAGGAAUAUUGGUCAAUGGACGAGAGUCUGAACCAGCCACGUAGCGUGAAGGAUGACUGCCCUAUGGGUUGUAAACUUCUUUUAUAUGGGAAUAAAACGUUCCACGUGUGGGAUUUUGUAUGUACCAUAUGAAUAAGGAUCGGCUAACUCCGUGCCAGCAGCCGCGGUAAUACGGAGGAUCCGAGCGUUAUCCGGAUUUAUUGGGUUUAAAGGGAGCGUAGGUGGAUUGUUAAGUCAGUUGUGAAAGUUUGCGGCUCAACCGUAAAAUUGCAGUUGAAACUGGCAGUCGUGAGUACAGUAGAGGUGGGCGGAAUUCGUGGUGUAGCGGUGAAAUGCUGAGAUAUCACGAAGAACUCCGAGUGCGAAGGCAGCUCACUGGACUGCAACUGACACUGAGGCUCGAAAGUGUGGGUAUCAAACAGGAUUAGAUACCCUGGUAGUC